GAUGAACGCUGGCGGCGUGCCUAAUACAUGCAAGUCGAGCGAACCACUUCGGUGGUGAGCGGCGAACGGGUGAGUAACACGUAGGUUAUCUGCCCAUCAGACGGGGACAACGAUUGGAAACGAUCGCUAAUACCGGAUAGGACGAAAGUUUAAAGGUGCUUCGGCACCACUGAUGGAUGAGCCUGCGGCGCAUUAGCUAGUUGGUAGGGUAAAGGCCUACCAAGGCGACGAUGCGUAGCCGACCUGAGGGGGUGAACGGCCACACUGGGACUGAGACACGGCCCAGACUCCUACGGGAGGCAGCAGUAGGGAAUCUUCGGCAAUGGGCGAAAGCCUGACCGAGCAACGCCGCGUGAAUGAUGAAGGCCUUCGGGUUGUAAAAUUCUGUUAUAAGGGAAGAAUGGCUCUAGUAGGAAAUGGCUAGAGUGUGACGGUACCUUAUGAGAAAGCCACGGCUAACUACGUGCCAGCCGCCGCCGUAAAAC
rnacentral:rRNA from 1 species